rnacentral:misc_RNA from 1 species
CAGAGUUUCUAACUCCUAAAACCAUGUGAACUUACCACUGUUGCCUCGGUGGAAGGCAUCCGAAAGGGUGCUGGAAGCCGGUGGACAUCUAAACUCUUGUUAAUUUUUGUUAUUCUGAAUCUAAACUAAGAAAUAAGUUA